ACGGCUCAGUAACACGUGGCUAACCUACCCUUAGGACGGGGACAACCCCGGGAAACUGGGGCUAAUAUCUGAUAGGUGAGGAGGCCUGGAAUGGUUCCUCCCUGAAAAGGCGUUGAAACCAUGCUUUUCAGCGUCGCCUAAGGAUGGGGCCGCGUCCGAUCAGGUUGUUGGUGGGGUAACGGCUCACCAAGCCAUUAACCGGUACGGGCCGUGAGAGCGGGAGCCCGGAGAUGGGCACUGAGACAAGGGCCCAGGCCCUACGGGGCGCAGCAGUCGCGAAAACUCCGCAAUGCGCGAAAGCGUGACGGGGCUACCCCGAGUGCCGUCCGCUGAGGAUGGCUUUUCCCCGGUGUAAUGAGCCGGGGGAAUAAGGAGAGGGCAAGACUGGUGUCAGCCGCCGCGGUAAUACCAGCUCUCCGAGUGGUAGGGACAAUUAUUGGGCUUAAAGCGUCCGUAGCCGGCUUAGCAAGUCUUCUGUUAAAUUCAGCGACUUAAUCGUUGAGCCGCGGGAGAUACUACUAGGCUAGGAGGCGGGAGAGGCCGACGGUAUUCCCGGGGUAGGGGUGAAAUCCUAUAAUCCCGGGAGGACCACCAGUGGCGAAGGCUGUCAGCUAGAACGCGCUCGACGGUGAGGGACGAAAGCUGGGGGAGCGAACCGGAUUAGAUACCCGGGUAGUCCCAGCCGUAAACGAUGCGGGCUAGGUGUUGAGGUGGCUACGAGCCACUUCAGUGCCGCAGGGAAGCCAUUAAGCCCGCCGCCUGGGGAGUACGGCCGCAAGGCUGAAACUUAAAGGAAUUGGCGGGGGAGCACCACAAGGCGUGAAGCUUGCGGUUCAAUUGGAGUCAACGCCGG
rnacentral:rRNA from 1 species